rfam:Chelonia mydas contig201890, whole genome shotgun sequence.
UAUUGUUUCAAUAGUAAUCCUGCUCAGUACAAGAGGAACCACAAGCAGUUGGUGUAUGUGGUUGGCUGAGAAGCCAAUAGGGUGAAGCUACCAUCUGUGGUAUUAUGCCUGAAUGCCUCUAAAUCAGAAUCCCCCCGAACAUAAUGAUACAAAGUAUGGUGGAGACUCGGUUGGCCCCACAUAGCUGGCUGUCCUCUCCAAGGGGAGGGCCUGGUGUGGAGAGUCAUUCGCGUUGGGACUGGAGAAUGGACAGAAGGGAGCCACCUCUCACCCAUAGUGCACUGCAUGUUCUUAGGGAACCUGGCAUUAAAUCAACCUGAUUCUUAGUCAGGGUUUCAUGUGUAGCAGAGCAGCUACCUUGCUGUGAUCUUUUGAAAGUCAACCUUUCAUACAAGUUGUU